rnacentral:rRNA from 1 species
CUACAGAGAGUGCAAGCGUUAAUCGGAAUAACUGGGCGUAAAGCGCACGUAGGUGGACAUUUAAGUCGGAUGUGAAAGCCCUAGGCUUAACCUAGGAACUGCAUCCGAAACUGGGCGUCUUGAGUAUAGUAGAGGGAAGUGGAAUUUCCGGUGUAGCGGUGAAAUGCGUAGAUAUCGGAAAGAACACCAGUGGCGAAGGCGGCUUCCUGGACUAAUACUGACACUGAGGUGCGAAAGCGUGGGGAGCAAACAGGAUUAGAAACCCUAGUAGUCC